rnacentral:tRNA from 1 species
GCGCCCGUAGCUCAGCCGGAUAGAGCACGAGCCUUCUAAGCUUGGGGUCAGAGGUUCGAGUCCUCUCGGGCGCGCCA